rnacentral:rRNA from 1 species
CGCUGGCGGCGUGCCUAAUACAUGCAAGUCGAGCGGACAGAUGGGAGCUUGCUCCCUGAUGUUAGCGGCGGACGGGUGAGUAACACGUGGGUAACCUGCCUGUAAGACUGGGAUAACUCCGGGAAACCGGGGCUAAUACCGGAUGGUUGUUUGAACCGCAUGGUUCAAACAUAAAAGGUGGCUUCGGCUACCACUUACAGAUGGACCCGCGGCGCAUUAGCUAGUUGGUGAGGUAACGGCUCACCAAGGCAACGAUGCGUAGCCGACCUGAGAGGGUGAUCGGCCACACUGGGACUGAGACACGGCCCAGACUCCUACGGGAGGCAGCAGUAGGGAAUCUUCCGCAAUGGACGAAAGUCUGACGGAGCAACGCCGCGUGAGUGAUGAAGGUUUUCGGAUCGUAAAGCUCUGUUGUUAGGGAAGAACAAGUACCGUUCGAAUAGGGCGGUACCUUGACGGUACCUAACCAGAAAGCCACGGCUAACUACGUGCCAGCAGCCGCGGUAAUACGUAGGUGGCAAGCGUUGUCCGGAAUUAUUGGGCGUAAAGGGCUCGCAGGCGGUUUCUUAAGUCUGAUGUGAAAGCCCCCGGCUCAACCGGGGAGGGUCAUUGGAAACUGGGGAACUUGAGUGCAGAAGAGGAGAGUGGAAUUCCACGUGUAGCGGUGAAAUGCGUAGAGAUGUGGAGGAACACCAGUGGCGAAGGCGACUCUCUGGUCUGUAACUGACGCUGAGGAGCGAAAGCGUGGGGAGCGAACAGGAUUAGAUACCCUGGUAGUCCACGCCGUAAACGAUGAGUGCUAAGUGUUAGGGGGUUUCCGCCCCUUAGUGCUGCAGCUAACGCA